rnacentral:rRNA from 1 species
CCUACGGGAGGCAGCAGUGAGGAAUAUUGGUCAAUGGGCGCGAGCCUGAACCAGCCAAGUAGCGUGAAGGAUGACUGCCCUACGGGUUGUAAACUUCUUUUAUAAAGGAAUAAAGUGAGGCACGUGUGCCUUUUUGUAUGUACGUUAUGAAUAAGGAUCGGCUAACUCCGUGCCAGCAGCCGCGGUACUACGGAGGAGCCGAGCGUUAUCCGGAUUUAUGGGGUUUAAAGGGAGCGUCGAUGGGUUGUUAAGUCAGUUGUGACAGUUUGCGGCUCAACCGUAAAAUUGCCCUUGUUACUGGCAGUCUUGCGUACAGUUGAGGUAGGCGGCAUUCGUGGUGUAGCGGU